rnacentral:rRNA from 1 species
GAUGAACGCUGGCGGCAUGCCUAAUACAUGCAAGUCGAACGAGAGGAAGGAAAGCUUGCUUUUCUGAAUCUAGUGGCGAACGGGUGAGUAACACGUAGGUAACCUGCCCAUGUGCCCGGGAUAACUUCUGGAAACGGAUGCUAAAACCGGAUAGGUAGCAGACAAGCAUUUGACUGCUAUUAAAGUGGCUUUGGCCAUGAACAUGGAUGGACCUGCGGUGCAUUAGCUGGUUGGUGAGGUAACGGCCCACCAAGGCGACGAUGCAUAGCCGGCCUGAGAGGGCGGACGGCCACAUUGGGACUGAGACACGGCCCAAACUCCUACGGGAGGCAGCAGUAGGGAAUUUUCGUCAAUGGGGGGAACCCUGAACGAGCAAUGCCGCGUGAGUGAGGAAGGUCUUCGGAUCGUAAAGCUCUGUUGUAAGAGAAAAACGGCACUCAUAGGG